rnacentral:rRNA from 1 species
UAAGGAAUAUUGGACAAUGGAGGCAACUCUGAUCCAGCCAUGCCGCGUGAAGGAAUAGGGCCCUAUGGGUUGUAAACUUCUUUUAGACGGGACAAAACCCCUUUACGUGUAAAGGGUUGAUGGUACUGUCAGAAUAAGCAUCGGCUAACCUCGUGCCAGCAGCCGCGGUAAUACGAAGGAUGCAAGCGUUAUCCGGAAUUAUUGGGUUUAAAGGGUGCGUAGGCGGACUAAUAAGUCAGUGGUGAAAGCCUGCAGCUUAACUGCAGAAUUGCCAUUGAUACUUUUAUUCUUGAGUUCGGGAGAGAGAGACGGAAUUCCAGGUGUAGUGGUGAAAUACGUAGAUAUCUGGAAGAACACCAGUUGCGAAGGCGGUCUCUUGGUCCGACACUGACGCUGAGGCGCGAAAGCGUGGGGAGCAAACA